ensembl:lncRNA VNN3P vanin 3, pseudogene
AUGAUUAUAUCACAUUUUCCAAAAUGUGUGGCAGUUUUUGCCCUCCUUGCUCUGAGUGUUGGUGCACUGGACACUUUUAUUGCUGCAGUAUAUGAGCAUGCGGUGAUAUUACCAAACAGAACAGAAACACCUGUUUCAAAAGAAGAAGCUUUGCUCCUGAUGAACAAGAACAUAGAUGUUUUGGAGAAAGCAGUUAAGCUGGCAGCGAAGCAGGGUGCACAUAUCAUUGUGACCCCAGAAGAUGGAAUCUAUGGUUGGAUCUUCACCAGGGAGAGCAUUUACCCCUAUCUAGAGGAUAUACCAGACCCUGGAGUGAACUGGAUUCCAUGUAGAGACCCCUGGAGGGAGUGGAAUCUACGCCCCAGAAGCAGUCAAGGUGUACCACUAUGACAUGGAAACAGAGAGUGGUCAGCUGUUGCUAUCAGAACUGAAGUCUCGGCCCCGCCGUGAGCCCACCUACCCUGCAGCUGUUGACUGGCAUGCGUAUGCCAGCAGUGUCAAGCCAUUUUCCUCUGAACAGUCAGAUUUUCUGGGGAUGAUUUAUUUUGAUGAGUUUACCUUCACCAAGCUUAAGAGAAAUACAGGAAAUUACACAGCUUGCCAGAAAGAUCUGUGUUGUCACUUAACUUACAAGAUGUCUGAGAAGCGAACAGACGAGAUCUAUGCCCUAGGUGCUUUUGAUGGACUGCACACAGUAGAAGGCCAAUAUUACUUACAGAUAUGUGCAUUACUGAAGUGUCAAACCACUGACCUGGAAACGUGUGGAGAACCUGUGGGGUCAGCUUUUACCAAGUUUGAAGACUUCUCCCUCAGUGGCACAUUUGGAACGCGUUAUGUUUUCCCACAGAUCAUUCUAAGUGGGAGUCAGCUUGCCCCUGAAAGACAUUAUGAGGUAGGAGGUGUGCAGGAUGAUAAAUUCCUUUGAGCAGAGUAGAUGGGUAGAGCAGCAUAAUGAAAAUCUUUGAAAUAAUGAGAGUAUAGCAAUAUCGUGGUUCACAUUCUACAAGAAACACCUUAAAUAUGUGGAAACUAUGAUAUGGAAUAUAAAUUGUGGUUUUAGAUUGCCAUUAGGCUGUGAUGGAGAAUUUGGGGUUCAUUUUUUUAACAUAAAUGUGAUGUUGAUAUUCAAGGCAACAGGAAAUUCACAGAGAAGCUAAAAUAAAAAUGUUGACUGCUGAUAAUGGCAAUAAUGUUGUCAUUUGCAUGGUGUAGAAGGUGCAAAUUAAAUACAUUAAAUAAUGCAUCUACAACUUAUUUUCUGGGUAUACUAUUUUGAGAAGUUGUUAUAAUUAUAGUAAUAACUAAUAUUUUGUAUAGUGUUUCAUGAGUUUGAAGAACAUAUUUUUAUACAUAUUAUUUGACCACCUGUGCAACAAAUUUGUUGGCUGCACUUUCGCACAAAGUCCCUCUACUUUCAGACUUGAAACAUGAACCUGGGUCUUCCAACACCAAAUCCUGUGUGAUUUUUACCAUUCUACACUGCUUUAGGAGGGAGUGAUCUUGCCUGAGAAGGGCUCUAGGUUGUAACCUAAACUCUGCACUGAAGUUAACCCUUUGCUUUCUUUGACCAGAUUUCAAGAGAUGGACGCUUGAGGAGCCGAAGUGGAGCCCCUUUGCCUGUCUUAGUUAUGGCCCUGUAUGGAAGAGUGUUUGAGAAGGACCCUCCACGCUUAGGGCAGGGAUCUGGGAAAUUCCAGUGA